UACGAAGGGGGCUAGUGUUGCUCGGAAUUACUGGGCGUAAAGCGCGUGUAGGCGGUUGUUCAAGUCAGGUGUGAGAGCCUUGGGCUCAACUCAAGAAAUGCACUUGAUACUGGAUAACUAGAGGACCGGAGAGGAUAGUGGAAUUCCCAGUGUAGUGGUGAAAUACGUAGAGAUUGGGAAGAACACCAGUGGCGAAGGCGGCUAUCUGGACGGUUUCUGACGCUAAGACGCGAAAGCGUGGGGAGCAAACAGG
rnacentral:rRNA from 1 species